UGCCUUUUGUAGAAUGAACCGGCGAGUUACGAUCCCGUGCGAGGUUAAGCUGAAGAGGCGGAGCCGCAGCGAAAGCGAGUCUGAAUAGGGCGUUUAGUACGUGGUCGUAGACCCGAAACCAGGUGAUCUACCCAUGUCCAGGGUGAAGUUCAGGUAACACUGAAUGGAGGCCCGAACCCACGCACGUUGAAAAGUGCGGGGAUGAGGUGUGGGUAGCGGAGAAAUUCCAAUCGAACCUGGAGAUAGCUGGUUCUCCCCGAAAUAGCUUUAGGGCUAGCCUUAAGUGUAAGAGUCUUGGAGGUAGAGCACUGAUUGGACUAGGGGUCCUCAUCGGAUUACCGAAUUCAGUCAAACUCCGAAUGCCAAUGACUUAUCCUUAGGAGUCAGACUGCGAGUGAUAAGAUCCGUAGUCAAAAGGGAAACAGCCCAGACCGCCAGCUAAGGUCCCAAAGUGUGUAUUAAGUGGAAAAGGAUGUGGAGUUGCUUAGACAACUAGGAUGUUGGCUUAGAAGCAGCCACCAUUUAAAGAGUGCGUAAUAGCUCACUAGUCGAGUGACUCUGCGCCGAAAAUGUACCGGGGCUAAAUACACCACCGAAGCUGCGGAUUGAUACCAAUGGUAUCAGUGGUAGGGGAGCGUUCUAAGGACAGUGAAGUCAGACCGUAAGGACUGGUGGAGUGCUUAGAAGUGAGAAUGCCGGUAUGAGUAGCGAAAGACGGGUGAGAAUCCCGUCCACCGAAUGCCUAAGGUUUCCUGAGGAAGGCUCGUCCGCUCAGGGUUAGUCAGGACCUAAGCCGAGGCCGACAGGCGUAGGCGAUGGACAACAGGUUGAUAUUCCUGUACCACCUCUUUAUCGUUUGAGCAAUGGAGGGACGCAGAAGGAUAGAAGAAGCGUGCGAUUGGUUGUGCACGUCCAAGCAGUUAGGCUGAUAAGUAGGCAAAUCCGCUUAUCAUAAAGGCUGAGCUGUGAUGGGGAAGCUCCUUAUGGAGCGAAGUCUUUGAUUCCCCGCUGCCAAGAAAAGCUUCUAGCGAGAUAAAAGGUGCCUGUACCGCAAACCGACACAGGUAGGCGAGGAGAGAAUCCUAAGGUGUGCGAGAGAACUCUGGUUAAGGAACUCGGCAAAAUGACCCCGUAACUUCGGGAGAAGGGGUGCUUUCUUAACGGAAAGCCGCAGUGAAUAGGCCCAAGCGACUGUUUAGCAAAAACACAGCUCUCUGCGAAGCCGUAAGGCGAAGUAUAGGGGGUGACACCUGCCCGGUGCUGGAAGGUUAAGGAGAGGGGUUAGCGUAAGCGAAGCUCUGAACUGAAGCCCCAGUAAACGGCGGCCGUAACUAUAACGGUCCUAAGGUAGCGAAAUUCCUUGUCGGGUAAGUUCCGACCCGCACGAAAGGUGUAACGAUUUGGGCACUGUCUCAACCAGAGACUCGGUGAAAUUAUAGUACCUGUGAAGAUGCAGGUUACCCGCGACAGGACGGAAAGACCCCGUGGAGCUUUACUGUAGCCUGAUAUUGAAUUUUGGUACAGUUUGUACAGGAUAGGCGGGAGCCAUUGAAACCGGAGCGCUAGCUUCGGUGGAGGCGCUGGUGGGAUACCGCCCUGACUGUAUUGAAAUUCUAACCUACGGGUCUUAUCGACCCGGGAGACAGUGUCAGGUGGGCAGUUUGACUGGGGCGGUCGCCUCCUAAAGUGUAACGGAGGCGCCCAAAGGUUCCCUCAGAAUGGUUGGAAAUCAUUCGUAGAGUGCAAAGGCAUAAGGGAGCUUGACUGCGAGACCUACAAGUCGAGCAGGGACGAAAGUCGGGCUUAGUGAUCCGGUGGUUCCGCAUGGAAGGGCCAUCGCUCAACGGAUAAAAGCUACCCCGGGGAUAACAGGCUUAUCUCCCCCAAGAGUCCACAUCGACGGGGAGGUUUGGCACCUCGAUGUCGGCUCAUCGCAUCCUGGGGCUGUAGUCGGUCCCAAGGGUUGGGCUGUUCGCCCAUUAAAGCGGUACGCGAGCUGGGUUCAGAACGUCGUGAGACAGUUCGGUCCCUAUCCGUCGUGGGCGUAGGAAAUUUGAGAGGAGCUGUCCUUAGUACGAGAGGACCGGGAUGGACGCACCGCUGGUGUACCAGUUGUUCUGCCAAGGGCAUAGCUGGGUAGCUAUGUGCGGAAGGGAUAAGUGCUGAAAGCAUCUAAGCAUGAAGCCCCCCUCAAGAUGAGAUUUCCCAUAGCGUAAGCUAGUAAGAUCCCUGAAAGAUGAUCAGGUUGAUAGGUUCGAGGUGGAAGCAUGGUGACAUGUGGAGCUGACGAAUACUAAUAGAUCGAGGACUUAACCAUAUAA
rnacentral:rRNA from 1 species